GUUGGUCGAUACCGCCGACUUCUUCCUCUGUGAAGGUGAUCGAGCAACUUUGGCCGUCUCGAGGAGGAGACCAUGUAGGCCAAUUUGCACUCGACUCUGCCUUCCGUUGGUAAGCCUUGAUGGCCGACACGGUAUCGCCGCAGUAUUGUGAUCCUCCGAUGAUCAUAUUGACUCUGCGACGAUUGUUAUCGUUCCCUUUGUCAUCCGGCC
rnacentral:lncRNA from 1 species